UCCGUAGGUGGCAAGCGUUGUCCGGAAUUAUUGGGCGUAAAGCGCGCGCAGGCGGUUUUGUAAGUCUGAUGUUUAAGCCCGGGGCUCAACCUCGGUUCGCAUUGGAAACUGUGUAACUUGAGUGCAGAAGAGGAAAGUGGUAUUCCACGUGUAGCGGUGAAAUUCGUAGAUAUGUGGAGGAACACCAGUGGCGAAGGCGACUUUCUGGUCUGUAACUGACGCUGAGGCGCGAAAGCGUGGGGAGCAAACAGG
rnacentral:rRNA from 1 species